UACGUAGGGUGCGAGCGUUGUCCGGAAUUAUUGGGCGUAAAGAGCUUGUAGGCGGUUUGUCGCGUCUGCUGUGAAAAUCCGGGGCUCAACCCCGGACUUGCAGUGGGUACGGGCAGGCUAGAGUUCGGUAGGGGAGACUGGAAUUCCUGGUGUAGCGGUGAAAUGCGCAGAUAUCAGGAGGAACACCGAUGGCGAAGGCAGGUCUCUGGGCCGAUACUGACGCUGAGGAGCGAAAGCGUGGGGAGCGAACAGG
rnacentral:rRNA from 1 species